rnacentral:lncRNA from 1 species
UGAGCUAAGAAUACUAAACCCACACACUUUGUGCCAGCCUGAAGGAAGAGUACAGCUACCUCAUCACUCGGAAGUUCCAAUGAUCUAACCAGGAACACACUACAUCAAUCCUUUAAAAGCUAUAGGAUUCAUUUGAUGCUUCUAAUCACUUGAUUUUUGCAUUCUGCUAAAAAAAAAAAAAACUUAUCUUGCUGGCUACUAAAAUGUUGAACUCACUGAAGAGUGUUUCAGGAAGUGAAAGCUCAUUAAACCUAACAGUCAAAAUGCAAACCUAAUAGAGUACUUCUCCUGCCAAUACUGGUAUUAGAGCCAGAUGCUGGUAUUUAGACAAUAAAAAUUUAAAUCUUUAGUUAAUGACAUUAAAUUGAAAUAACUCAAAACUCUGAAAGGAAAAAAACCUUUCAAAUCUGAUAAUAAAAGUACGUAAUUUCUUAAAUUGUGACUUCUUUUUGUCCAACAGAUUCAGGCAAAUUCUCAAACUGGGGGAAGAAAGCAACAAACAAAUAUUAUCAUUGAUUUCUAUUAUUUUUUCUUUUUAGAAACAGGGUCUUGCUCUGUCACCCAAACUGAAGUGCAAUUUCUAUUUUUAAGUUUGUGUUGGGUAAAAAAAUUAAAUGCACUUGUUUGGUCCUUUCACAACUGUCAGUAAGC